GUAGGUGGCAAGCGUUGUCCGGGAAUUAUUGGGGCGUAAAGCGCGUGCAGGCGGUUCUUUAAGUCUGAUGUGAAAGCCCACGGGCUCAACCGUGGAGGGUCAUUGGAAACUGGAGAACUUGAGUACAGAAGAGGAAAGCGGAAUUCCACGUGUAGCGGUGAAAUGCGUAGAGAUGUGGAGGAACACCAGUGGCGAAGGCGGCUUUCUGGUCUGUAACUGACGCUGAGGCGCGAAAGCGUGGGGAGCAAACAGGAUUAGAUACCCUGGUAGUCCACGCCGUAAACGAUGAGUGCUAAGUGUUAGGGGGUUUCCGCCCCUUAGUGCUGCAGCUAACGCAUUAAGCACUCCGCCUGGGGAGUACGGCCGCAAAGGCUG
rnacentral:rRNA from 1 species